GGUCAGCCUUCUCCAGGCGGCGUACUAAGGUGUAGAAAGAAAACCGCGGUCGCGCCAAGCUAAGAUGAGCGACUGCUGAGUCGCGGUCCUUAGCGCGUCAAGAGACAGGCUGGGUCCCUGCGGGGCAGGAGAGGCGGAGAGAGACCCUGGGAACAUCCUGGGUGGCCACACGUCGGUGCCCGAAGUAUGGCGGGACUCAGGAUGGAAGUCACCAGGACACGGAUUUAGAUUUGACUGAAUGAGUUGGACAGAAUAUUUUCCCCCAGCAAAGGAGGCAGCUACCACGUCUCCUCUAUGGAGGAAUUCAAGAACACUUCAGCUCAGAGGGCACAAUUUUCAUGGGGCUUGCAGGGCCUGCCAGAGCACCACAGCCAUGGGGUCUGAAUAGGCAACUGUUGGACUCUCUUCUGAUUCAGGGAAGCAUUUUCUAGAAACUUAUCCUUCUUGGGGAGUGAAGUCUGUGAAGUGUUCCAACCUGUUCACCUGCUGUCCUGAUGGCAUAAGAGCAGUUCUGUACGGGAUCUGCCUUGAACACUGCAUCCAUCACAUGGGAAGAAAUAGAUUGUGGUUUUGCUAGACUUUCUGUAAUAGGAAUAUUAUUUCCUGAUGGUUGUAAGACAUCUGUCCAGGUACAUUAUCCAACUGGAAAAAUAUCUCAAGAAUCGUACUUGUAGCAAUAGUCAAAAUCUCCUCCCUAGCCAUCAAAUGUAAUAUGAGCUUUAUGUCCUCUUGCACUGCCACAGAUUGCCAGGCAGAUCAGAUAAGGAUUCUUUCUGUUGCUUCAUUUCAUUCUCCUUUUAAUGACUUAAGGUUGGCUUCUGUGAUCCCUUCUUACAGAAUGUUGAAGGUACUAUUUCAGAUCCAUUUAGAGAUCAUAAAAGGAACUUUGGCCAAGAUGAUACACUCAUCUGGAACCCCAAGGGGGCUGAAGUAAUGACCUCCUUUUUACACUUCAAAUUCCUAACAAUUGUGUGUCCAAGGUUCAAGAGAUCUACAAGCUUCCUAAAGUCAUUUCCAUUGUCACUAUAUCUAGUGCUAACUAUAUAAGCUGGCAUAUGUAAUCCCAAUAAUCAUAAUUCAUGUUGAAGUAAUAUUGUGACAGUAACAUGCUUCCUUUCAAACAAACUGUGAGGUCUUUAGUUGGUGAAAUUGUGGACUGACCAAAUUACCGUGAAGGAUCACAGAAAGAUCCAGUCUCUCCCAGUAAUUGUUCUACUGGAAAUUGUUGUUUUGCCCAGAGGAUAUUCUUCAUUGUCAUGCUUGACAGUAUGGAUCUUUUCCCCAUGGGCUCCCUUUUUGGUGUUCUUUUCUCAUGGGGCUACAAUGGGUGGAGGUUAUUUCCCCAGAGUCCAGUCAGCAUGGGGACACAGGGCACUGCUACUGUAUUUUAGAGCCCAAGGGCAGAGCCCAGACCUAAGUUGUAUGCUUUAUAAAAGCAUCCUUAUUGGAGCAUCAUUGACAUACAAUAAACUGUGCAUAUUUAAAUAUA